rnacentral:rRNA from 1 species
UGAACGAAGAAGGCCGUGAGGUUGUAAAGUUCUUUUCGGGAGGGGGAACGACCGUGGCAGGGAAUGGCCGCGGGAUGACGUGAAUCCCGGAAUAAGCCCCGGCUAACUACGUGCCAGCAGCCGCGGUAACACGUAGGGGGCGAGCGUUGUUCGGAAUCAUUGGGCGUAAAGGGCGUGCAGGCGGUCCUGCAAGUCCGGCGUGAAAGACCCCGGCCCAACCGGGGGGGCGCGCUGGAAACUGCAGGGCUUGAGUACAGGAGGGGAUGCCGGAAUUCCAGGUGUAGGGGUGAAAUCUGUASAUAUCUGGAGGAACACCAAUGGCGAABGCASGCAUCUGSCC